GAUGAACGCUGGCGGCGUGCCUAAUACAUGCAAGUCGAGCGAACAGACGAGGAGCUUGCUCCUCUGACGUUAGCGGCGGACGGGUGAGUAACACGUGGAUAACCUACCUAUAAGACUGGGAUAACUUCGGGAAACCGGAGCUAAUACCGGAUAAUAUAUUGAACCGCAUGGUUCAAUAGUGAAAGACGGUUUUGCUGUCACUUAUAGAUGGAUCCGCGCCGCAUUAGCUAGUUGGUAAGGUAACGGCUUACCAAGGCGACGAUGCGUAGCCGACCUGAGAGGGUGAUCGGCCACACUGGAACUGAGACACGGUCCAGACUCCUACGGUAGGCAGCAGUAGGGAAUCUUCCGCAAUGGGCGAAAGCCUGACGGAGCAACGCCGCGUGAGUGAUGAAGGUCUUCGGAUCGUAAAACUCUGUUAUUAGGGAAGAACAAAUGUGUAAGUAACUAUGCACGUCUUGACGGUGCCUAAUCAGAAAGCCACGGCUAACUACGUG
rnacentral:rRNA from 1 species